rnacentral:lncRNA from 1 species
UCCUCUCUUCUCUCUUCUCUCUUCGGCCGCAGGUCUCCGAUGGCGCCGUUGACUCAGUCUGUCCUCAGCCUCCUCUCCGCCGCUUUCCUCCUUGGCUUCCUCUCUGAUCCGGCCGCUGCUCGUCCCUGCAAAACCCUUUUCAUCUCCUCCUACUCCGUAUCCUUCCACCCCAAUUUCCCCGAUCAAAAUAACCCUAACUCCGCAGGCACCGCCGGAAUUCUCACGAUUUUCACUGAGAUCCGGCAAUUUAACCCCCGUCCGCCGCUCACCUUCGUCGACGCCGUCGAGGAUCAGCACCCGAUCGAGCGUCCGCCGCGAUUUGGCCUCGGUCUAGGGUUCGACUCCGACUCCCUCCGCGACCGCACCAAGGACGUGCUCAGCGUUGUUGUGGCGCUGCUCUUCGGCGUCGGCUGUGGCGCUCUCACCGCCGCAACCAUGUACUUGGGUUGGUCGCUCUUCUCCAACCGCCACCGCUACUCCGACUUCGAUUACGAUGACUUUGAGGAUGAUGACGUUGACAUGAGCCCUAAGAAGGUGGGCUAUGUGAGGAUCCCUCCUCCUGCUGAUGCCUCUACUCCCGUGGCAAAAGAGGCGGUAUGAGGCACAGAAAAAUUAGGGUUUUAAUGCUUAAUGCCUAGUGUUUUGCGUUUCUGAACCAGGUGCUAUUUGCUAUGUUAUUAUGAAUUAUAUUGCUAAAAAUGUGGGUACUUAUAUGGUUUUGUGUUUCUCAAUCACAUCUAUAACUAUGCUUUGUGUAUAUUUAUCAUCUAAUACAUUGAAUGCUUGUUUUAUUUAAUUUUUUUCUUUCGCUUGGGCUUCGAUUAUUUGGAAGGAAAAAUUGUUCUCUGACAUAUGUUCGAUUAAUCUUCUUUUUUUUUUUGUAUGAGAAGCUUUUUGGUUGAAACAAAUGGGGCCUUGGUCUGGUUUCUUUUAUUUAAUUGCAGGUUGUAUACCUUAAGGUUGAUGGUGCGGUGAUUUUGUAGUUUUCCUAAAGUUGAUGAUUGCGUAAUUUUGCCCUUUUGUCGGAGUUUGUUGUAGUAGAUGAUGUUGUGAUUUUGUAGUUUUGCACGAAUGAUCGACUACUUUUUUCCAUUAUCUUUAUGUGUUGUGACCAAAUUUUUAACAUGCUUGAUUUUCAGCAAGUGUUUGUGAAAAUAGCAAGAUUUUGGCCAUAGGCUGUUUCAGGGAAGGGGAUUGCAUUUUCAUUUUAGUUUUCAUUCUUUUGCUUUACUCCCUUUAGCAGGUGAAGUAGUGACCAUGCGUCCUUUUGUUUUCCAUAAUGAGAUUGACUUGUAUUGAGAUAUAGCUAUUGGAUAUAUAUUUUUCGGGCACUUAAUAAUAUUAUGUUCAAUCUAUUGAUGAAAUUUAGUAAUAUAUAUAUAUAUAUAUAUAUACAUAUAUAUCUCAUAUGGAAAAUUGACACGACAUUGUCUUGUCAACACUUAUUGAUGGAACUGUUUUUCACUAAAAAAUUCCCGAGGCUGUACUCAUUUUUCUGGAGCUGCAACCACUCUCCAACUAUCAAAUGCCUCUUUCAGCUUCGAUUUAGAACUUAACUUUCUAAUAAGAGAUUUUUGUUGCAUAGAAACUUAAGGAUGGAUUCCUUAUGUUGCAUGAGCAUUCAAGGCAGAUCUUCAAAUCAACUUGGCUAUCAUUUUUCAAUUAUUUUUUUUAUGCUUUAUUUUACUUUUUAAAGAAAUUAUAUUAAUUUCCUUGUCUUUAUGUGGUAUAAAUGACCAGGAUUAUAAAAGAUUGAUAUAUUUUUAGUAAUGAGGAGCCUACAUUAUAUAUUAACAUAGGCUUCGAAUUGAAUUAAAGGCCUUUCUAGAAUCAGGGGUAGGAUUAUGUAUGGGAUAGUGUUCUUUCUAGGAAGAUUACUGUUCUUUCUAUUUUAGUUUUUUUUUUCUUUGGGGGGUUGGUUUGGUCGAGUAUUCUUCUGGUUUUGUACUUGUUUUCCUUCUUUGCAUCACCUCUAGUAGUCUUGUAUCUUGCAAUAGCAUCCCAAAUUCACAAUUACAUGUUUGGUGAUUUUCAUGUGGCUUUGCAUGUGUGGUUCCUAGUAGGAACAUUAGAAGGAAAGUGGCCAAUCUUUUUGACAGACCUGGUAAUACUGUAAUGAAGAGAAACAAAUAGAAAGGAGUAAAAGGAAAUCAACAAACACCUUGGUGUCAAUGUAACAUAGUAACUUUCCAUGACCAUACAGUAAAUCCGGUAAUCUUUCGGGGGUUUUAGCAUGUCCAUGAACUGUCUUAAAAUUCUAGAGUGGGACUUCCAGUUCAAGAUAAUGGCAAAAGUAACAGAAUGAUGUUAAGUGAAGUACUAACUGACUUGGAACUUCAUUGUCGUGGCUCCCUAAUUAUUAGGGAGCAGGUCUUAUAGUUUUUACAGUGGAGGUUAUUAUGCUUGGGAAAGGUUUCUCUAUCAUCCAAUAGUCAAUAAGGCCUGUUUUCUUAAUAGUUAAAGUGAUGUUGAGGGAGUCCUAGAGGCAUUUGAGCUAAAGAUUGGAGAUCAUGAUCUGUUGUACAAGAUGUUUGGAAGAUGCUCAAAGAACUGAUUCAGAGAUCAGGAUAUUUCAGACCUGUCCAGAAGGCAAUAUGGUUGCAUAUUUGAAGCCAAAUUAGGCACAGCUAGCUUAGGAAUUUUAUUUGGGCUUGCGGCUUUCCAAGUGGGGUCAUUCUGCAUCUUGCCCAUGAUCUUUUAGGCUGGGCGUUUCCCCAUUCUUUUUCUGUUUGUGAUGGGAUCUGUGAAAUGGUAUUUUAUGAAAGAAGAAAAUGCGACAAGCACAUAAUGAAGCUUUGUCUUAAAAAUUCUUUGAAAUUUUUAAGGGAACCUUUGAGGCAUGGAAAUAAUUAGCUGCAGAAGGUUUCUAUGGGAUUUACAGUCACAGAAGAAUGCAUUGAAAGUAUGUUCCAUCACUCAAAUGUUUGUCAUGCUGCUUGUAAUUCUAUUUCAGCCAGGAUUCUAUUGACUAUGCAGUAAAUACAUCAUUAUGCUCCGGUUGUUGGUGCUAGAAUUCCUUAUGGGGUUUGUCCAUUCAAAUUAGAUGUUGAGAUUUUUCCUUAUAAGAGAUAUCACUGUUUUGGCACAUUCAUUAGUUUGAGGUGAUUUUGACCUUUUAAUUAAUUGUAUUUUGGGAGUGCUUCUGAUGUCAAUGCAAUUAGUGGUUUUUGAUUAUCCUGAACUUGAUAAGGAGUUGUUUACCUGUAAUUUUGCUCGAACUGUUGCUUACACCAGUUGUUCAGGGUUAAACCAGCUUUGUUUCAGUAUUUUGCUUCAUUUAGGGCCUAAAUGUAUGCCAUACCAUACAUGGGUACUUUUAGGGUAAUGCUGACAAGGAGUUAACUAAAGGCUUCACUAGUUAUUAGCCUAAUAGAAACCUUUUCCUGUGUUGCUGUUGUUUAUCUACUCUAUUAGAGAUUGGAAUCUUUACAAUCUGUCUGCUCUGUGCUAAGAAUAACUUUCUUAGAGCCAAAUGCAGAUAAAUUGAGUGGAGAGAUCUACACCUGCACUUUCUGUUUUGUUGACUGAUUCGGCCUUUCUAAAUUUCCUUCAUGGUUGAGGCAAUUUGCAAGAUAAUUUCUGAGGUGGUGGUGGGGGCCCCUUGUUCCACAAUUUCCAUGUUUGUUUCCCCCUGAUUCUAAGUUGAAGUUUAGAGUAACUGUGGUUGAGUGGGUUGUAUUUGUCUUGAAAUUCGCAAUCUGAGAUGUAAUCUGGCAAAAUAAAUACUAGAUUUAGGUAGGUGGUGAACUCAUAGCAGCUGCUAAUAAGGACUCUUGCGUUCUUUUCAGUCAACUUUUAUGUGAGGCAUUAUGGAAAACUGUCUUGAGUCUCACUGGACUUCAUUUCCUGUUUGACUAUAAACUAGACAAUUAAUUUUCCACUUGGUGAAUAGAAAAAUAUACAGGGGAAAAAUAAUUUGGAUCUAGUAUUUGCCUCAUUUCCACUGAGAAAGCACUCCUUUGGCUAGCUUUGGGGAUUUGAUGAAUGGACAAUCUAGAGAGUUGCUGUGUUCUUAAAACAUUGGAUUCAAUUUAGAAUGCUGAGAUUUGAGUGAUCUUAUGUGCUGUUGGUGGUGCUUAUGCCAAUGUAAGGGAAAUAUGAUGCAGUGUUAGGAAUAGAAUUGAGAUGUGAAUAUGCAAUAGGAUUAUAUUUUGGGAGUAUGUGUGUGGAGCAAUAUGGCUCUGAUUGUGCUGACUUCGAAUGUAGGAGGUUGUUCAAGGAAAACAGGUUUUUGUUAUGUGUUUGUCAGGGUGAAUUGAAGAGACACAAGACUCUGUUGUCAUUCUUUCCUGUAGGAUUCAGCUGCAUAACCCCUGAUCUUAGUACUAGUACUGUGCUUCUCAUUCUACUCCAGUACACAGAGUUCGAGAUUUAGAUCUGAAUCUGUUGAUGUAUGAUAUGUCAAAAUCUUGAAGCAAUUGUCUUGAAAAGGAUUAGUGAUUAUAUGCGUUGCAUGCUGAAACUUCAAUAAGUAAAUUUAUACUCUGAAGAUCAUAAAGCAAAUGAAGCAAAUAUAUAAAAUAUAGCAAUGAUUCAAUUGUUAUACAGUUUCAAAAGAUCCAUCUAAAUAAUUAAAUCUAUAGAAUAUAGCAAAGUAUCCAUCUUGAAACAGGAAAAAACACAACCCCUUGUGCAAUCAAACUGCACAAUAGUGUUUGAAUGGAAACUAACCAUUCUGAAGCUCAAAUUGAUUGUACUGCCAUGUUUAUAUUGAUUAUUGUGAGCUAUAAUUGAUUAUGUAAGGAUGUUGGUGGCUGAUAAAAAAUUGAAAUGAAGCCUUAGAGUUGAAGGAGAGUUUUGGAAACUUUUACAAAUCUGUUUUGAAUGGGAAAGAAUAUUAAUUUUGUUUUUCUUAUUAUUAGUGGGAAAUCUUUGUUGGAUUUUUUUUUUUUUCUUUUCCUGAAAUUUUCAAUGUCUUUGUAGGGUAACUUCAUCCGAAGAAUCUUUUAUUGCUAUUCUGGAUUUUAAUUGCAGUAUAGGUAGGAUGCCCAAACUCAGACCCAAGUCCCCACUUGUCAGCAUUGUGAUGGACUCCAGCACAAUUAGUAUAGCAGGGGAAGGACAAUGGGAGCCUCUUGGCACCUUGAAUUUGCAUUUGGUCAAGUUUCAGUCAACAAUUUUUGCAGGCUGAUAUUUGACCAUCUGAGCAUGCAUUUGGUUUGUAACACAAGAUAUUGUACUGUUGACCAGCUGAGUAGGUAAUUGGUAAAGAGCACAUCCCUGGUAAUCCCACUGUUUAUUCCUUAUUUUAUGCAAGGCAUUUUCUGUUAGUCCAGGGUCGAGGCUGCUUCUCAUUCCCCUGCUUUUGUUUCCUUGAAAAUGGCUUUGUUCCUAUGGACCAUUCUGCUUUCUUGUAUUAUCAAGUGCAAUCUGCAUUCUUGUAUUAGAAGAAUGAGGACAUUAAGGAACUGAAGCACCACAAUAAGAUGUCAUGUUCCCCUUUAGUUUCUAGAUGUGCCUCAGCUGUUAGUCUCUUUAUGCUAUGCAUAUUCAUAUUGUUCCCACCCUCUUUGGGCCUCUCACUCAGAAAUUUGCUCAUUAUCUGCCAAACUCCUCCAACCCCCAAGAUGAGAAUUUCAGUUUUCUACAUCCUGAAAUCAUAAGGCACUGAGUUAUGCAAACUAGGGGGAAGAGAGCUGUAUAUGGUUAAAUGCUGAAAAGCUGUGCUUGUUUUGGGUAGCAUAACUAGAACUAAAACAAAGCAAAUAGCAUCUUCUUUUCAAUAGCCCCCACUAGUCUUUUCAAGUGUUUACAUACCUACAUUUUGAUUUGCCUUGGCAUUUGAAUGGCAUAACAAAGCUGCUGAUGCUGCCCCUUCAUGACCAUUAACAUAAACCCUUGCGAGCUACACUUGCUAUUCUUUCUGCUAAUUUCUAGUUUCAAAUGCAACAAAAGGUCAAAAUAGGUCUGUAUGAUUUGCUGGAUAUUAGAGAAGCCAUGUAGUUGAUUUGCUCAAUUGUGUCUUUAUCCGUUGAAGAAAUACAGUUUCUAACAAGAUGAAUUAUAUCUUCACGAACUUACAACACUAGAUGAGCCUUAAGAUUUCGAGAACUCCUCUGUUAAGCACUGGAAAUACACUAAUUAAUUGUAUGAACGUAUUUUUUUUUAGAAAUUUGUUAGUUGGGGGGAUCGCAGAUCGAUUAGGAAAAGAUGUUUUCAGCAUUUCUACUGUGCUUUAUUUUUUAAGCUUAUAGAAGUAUUUUAAAGCUACUGGGAUUUUGAACAUAUGAGAGGAGUUUUAGAUUAAAAAUAAAUUAACUAUUUUAACUUAAUAUUUAAAAUUAUUUUUAUUUUAAAUUAUAAUAUUAAGUUUUUUUACCAAUCGCAGUUAAUAUAUUUAAUGACUUAAAUUAAGUCAUUAAACCAUUAAGUUGAUUUACCAAACAAUUCACUAAAUGUCACAAAACCAUACCAAAAACAAGCAUUCCACACUAUGUGUAAUGAGAAAGCAUAAAUUGCCUGAUCAUUAGCUUCCAUACACUCUCAUUGC